CGUACAAAUUUUGUUAUCUUUGUAACAAUGACAAAUGGAGGUCAGACUAAUGUUGGUACACAGGAUAUGGUUUUGCGGUUACAAGAUAGUGGUCUCAAUAUUCAACUUUGUGGUAGAUUGUAUCUUUCACCACGUUAGAAACAUACCUACUGGCAGCCUUGAAAUAAGCUAAACACCUCACCCGGGUCGUCGCUGCCGAAGUGCGGGGGUGUGGAGCCGUAGGUGGUCCACUUGAUGAACAUCAGCAGCACCAUGUAGAAGAACAGCAGCACCAGGAACAGGAUCUGAGGGAUGAACUCCACGUAGAUGCUGAUGCGACGCUUGAAGUAGCUGUGGGAACGAGGAAUAUUAAGUUAAGAACUAGUAAUAUUAGCAUGUCAAAGCCGCACGGCUCAAUCGAUCAUAAGGUUAAAUAACGCUUGGCGCAUCGGUCCGUGGAUGGAUGACCAUCUUGUCCUAACGAGUUUUUCCGUGUUUCGGAAGGCACGAUAAACUGUGGGUCCCGGCCGUCAUUUAAAAAUGUUGACAAUCGUUACGGACAGUCAAAAGCCAGAAUCUGAAAGUACUCUUAGGUUGCCAUAAGCAGCAUACGUUUUAUAUUCAUUCAAGAAUCUGUUGAUGUAACUUAUAGUAUAUAAGUCAUGUUAAAUGUUAUUGUUAUGUCAUUGUUAAAUGAUUGUCAUAUUUCCAUCUGACAUUAAAAAGCUGAAGAAUUU